AUGUUGAGUAAGGUUCUGAAGCUGGAACAAUUGGACCAGAGACAAUAUUUUGACUUGGCUCAGCAAUCACAUUAGUAACCUGUUCACUGUGAGCUGGAAGAGUGGAUGGAUUUUGACACAUCUGUGCAAUAUCAGGUUCUUCAACUGGAACAAUUUGACGAGAAGCAAUAUUUUGUUCUGCAUUAACAGUCACAUUGUGACGAACC
rnacentral:lncRNA from 1 species